GAAUCAUAAACCCGUAUUUGAGAUCAAUUUUUCAUUCCAAAGUGUUGAAAAUCCAUUUUCUUCUCAUAUUCAAACCCCACUUUUGCAUUCUCAAGUUUUGGAAGAUUUCACUAAUGCUUGAGUAUUAAAUCCUUACCAAGAUUUGAUAAAUCCUGCAAACCGUUUGUCAAUAUCCCUUCAAAUGUCUUAAUUCAAUUCGAGAGGGGGCAAAUACCGUUUGAGAACAACAAUAACGUGUUCGGACCUUCAUCUUCAUUUUCAUCUUCAUCUUCUCGUCAUUUCUUAUUUGUUUAUUCUCUAUUUCUCUUUGUGCAAACUUUAUUUAACUACAAUCUUAAACAAUAUUUUGCAAUGGAGAACGAAACACUAUGGCAAUGAUCAAGUUGAUGAAUCAAGACCUUGUUCGAUUGGAUCGCCUUGAUGGCACCAAUUUCACGAGAUGGCAAGACAAAUUGAAAUUUUUACUCAUGGCAUUGAAGAUAUUUCACAUACUCGAUCACAAAUUGGCACCACUACUAGAACCAACAAAUGGAGAAAUUGAAAAAAUCGAAAGAUGAAAGCGCAAGAGGAUGAACUUAUAUGCUACGACCAUAUUCUCAACGCUCUAUCUCUACACCAAGACAUCAUCAACAAAGGAAAUUUGGAACGCUUUGGAAAGUAAGUACAAAUUCGAAGAAGAAGAUACAAAGAUAUUUUUAAUUUUAAAGUACUUUGAUUUUAAAUUUUUUGAAAAUAUUUCCCUUCUUCCCAAAUUCAUGAAUUACAAGUGCUUGUCAACAAGUUGAAGGUGGUCAAAAUUGAAAUUCCGAAAACUUUCGAAGUGAGAGCAAUUAUUGCAUAACUUUCCAAAACUUGAAAACGAUAUGGAAAGAAAAUCAUGCAUAGUUUCGAAGAUUAUUCUUUAGAGUAAUUGCAAAAACAUCUUCGAAUAGAGGAGUCUAAGACAAGAGAUAAAAAUGACAAUUCUUAUGAAGGCGCUUCAAGAGCUAAUGUCGUGGAGAAAAUCGAGCCUUUUAACAAAUCUAACAAGAGAAAACCUUUAGGGAACUUUAACUAGUCCAAGAAGAAGACCAAAAAUGGUUGUUUUGUUUGUGGAAAAUCUGGACAUUAUGCAAAGAAAUGUCGACACUGAAAAAGAAAAAAACUCUGAAGGAAAAGUGAACUCCAUCAAGAAAGGCAACAUUGUGGCCAUCGUAAGCAAAACUAAUACCAUCAAGGGAAAGGUUCCCGGUUGGGUAUAAUACAUGUGCGACCGUACAUAUAUCCUAUGAUAAAUCAUUUUUCAAAACAUAUUAUGAAAUUGAUGGAGAUCAAAAGAUUCAAAUGGGUAACGAAAUUCGAUCCAAUGUAAUUGGAAAAUGAAAUGUAGAGAUCAUUUUCACUUUCAACAAGACCGUUACUUUAGCCAAUGUGUUACAUGUUCUCAACAUGAAUAGGAAUUUGGUUAGCAGGAUUCUAUUAGGAAUAUCGGGCAUAAAAUGUGUUUAUGAGUCCGGUAAACUUGUAUUAUCGUUAAAUGGGA
rnacentral:lncRNA from 1 species